rnacentral:rRNA from 1 species
AUUGAACGCUGGCGGCAGGCCUAACACAUGCAAGUCGAGCGGAUGAAGGGAGCUUGCUCCUGGAUUCAGCGGCGGACGGGUGAGUAAUGCCUAGGAAUCUGCCUGGUAGUGGGGGAUAACGUCCGGAAACGGGCGCUAAUACCGCAUACGUCCUGAGGGAGAAAGUGGGGGAUCUUCGGACCUCACGCUAUCAGAUGAGCCUAGGUCAGAUUAGCUAGUUGGUGGGGUAAAGGCCUACCAAGGCGACGAUCCGUAACUGGUCUGAGAGGAUGAUCAGUCACACUGGAACUGAGACACGGUCCAGACUCCUACGGGAGGCAGCAGUGGGGAAUAUUGGACAAUGGGCGAAAGCCUGAUCCAGCCAUGCCGCGUGUGUGAAGAAGGUCUUCGGAUUGUAAAGCACUUUAAGUUGGGAGGAAGGGCAGUAAGUUAAUACCUCGCUGUUUUGACGUUACCAACAGAAUAAGCACCGGCUAACUUCGUG